rnacentral:rRNA from 1 species
GAUGAACGCUGGCGGCGUGCCUAAUACAUGCAAGUCGAGCGAACAGACGAGGAGCUUGCUCCUCUGACGUUAGCGGCGGACGGGUGAGUAACACGUGGAUAACCUACCUAUAAGACUAGGAUAACUUCGGGAAACCGGAGCUAAUACCGGAUAAUAUAUUGAACCGCAUGGUUCAAUAGUGAAAGACGGUUUUGCUGUCACUUAUAGAUGGAUCCGCGCCGCAUUAGCUAGUUGGUAAGGUAACGGCUUACCAAGGCAACGAUGCGUAGCCGACCUGAGAGGGUGAUCGGCCACACUGGAACUGAGACACGGUCCAGACUCCUACGGGAGGCAGCAGUAGGGAAUCUUCCGCAAUGGGCGAAAGCCUGACGGAGCAACGCCGCGUGAGUGAUGAAGGUCUUCGGAUCGUAAAACUCUGUUAUUAGGGAAGAACAAAUGUGUACGUAACUAUGCACGUCUUGACGGUACCUAAUCAGAAAGCCACGGCUAACUACGUG